GACGAACGCUGGCGGCGUGCUUAACACAUGCAAGUCUACGAGAAAGUGUCUUUCGGGAUGCGAGUAUAGUGGCGCACGGGUGAGUAACACGUAAGCAAUCUACCCUUAGGCCUGGGAUAACCCCGAGAAAUCGGGGCUAAUACCGGAUGAUACAGCGGCACCGCAUGGUGAUGUUGUUAAAGUCUAUAUGGCGUCUAGGGAUGAGCUUGCGUCUGAUUAGCUUGUUGGUGAGGUAAUGGCUUACCAAGGCUGCGAUCAGUAGCUGGUCUGAGAGGAUGAUCAGCCACACUGGAACUGAGACACGGUCCAGACUCCUNACGGGAGGCAGCAGUGAGGAAUAUUGGGCAAUGGGCGAAAGCCUGACCCAGCAACGCCGCGUGGAGGAUGAAUGUCGUAAGAUUGUAAACUCCUGUUAGAGGGGAAGAAUAAUUCCGAUCGAAUCGGAACUUGACGUGUACCCUCAGAGAAAGCUCCGC
rnacentral:rRNA from 1 species